CUCGUCGGAGGAGGAGGAACAACGUCAGGAGGCGGAUGUUGUGCUGCGUUGGGCGGCGGAUGUUGAAGAGCUGGCGCCGGAGAUGUGGCGUCAGUGUCUGGAACAGCGGCCUUUGUGAAGCCACACAGGAUUAGCCAAGCGGUCUAAGGUGCUGCGGUCAUGGACUAUGAGGCUGAUCUCGGCAGAGGUUCGAGUCCUCCCUCGGGCAUGGAUUGAAUGCUACAGAGCCUGG